ACAAUAUAUUAGCUGAUGCCUAUGUUUAAAAACUGCUUUUGUCUCACCUUCAAAUCACCAUGUACCAAUCAAAAUGGUUCUAAGGAUGUUAUUACAGUAUACCUACCUAGCUACCUACAAAACCAUACCUUGAUAGUCCACCGUACCUGUGUUGGGCAACAUAUUACUUCUUAUGUCCCUGGCCUAGCGUGCCCCAAAAGAAAACAAUUAGACCCUCCCUUAAGUGAUAGUGCACUUCUAAAAUCCAAUGAUCAGAGUUUGCUUGGAACAUCAUACACCCACUCAGACUGUACAAUCCCUAUAUAUGCACAACAAACAAGGUUGCCACCUCAGAUAUCACUGAGCUGCAAAGGUUGCUCUUGUUGGAAACUUUGGAGUGGUACAGGAAGACCUAAAGCAUGGCCCGAAAACUCUUUCUAAUCAUGGUGCUCUUUCUUCUGGUUGGUGAUCUUAUGGGGCAAUCUGACGAUGAAGCCAUAGGUGAGAGACGCAGUUACACAGUUAUUUAAAGUAUACAAACUAAGAAAAGGGAAAAGGUGUGCCAAGAGUCAAGCAUUUCUCCUUAUUUUGCAAGCCGAGAUCAUGGAGGACAACGCUUAUGAGGGACACCCGCGUGCAGUCCGAGGCUUGGGGAAAGAUCUUGCCAAGAAGGUUGUGAAAACCGUUGCUAAAGAGGCCGGUAAAGCAGUCGUCAAAAAGGUGGUCAAAAAGAUAAGCGGAUGAACCUGCGUCAGAGCCGAGGAGGAGACACAUCUGCAAACGUUGUAAUAAUCACAUGUUCACUCAUGAGGUUGUGAGAAAUGCUCUGUUUCAACAUUUUGAUUUGGUUCAUGUGAAAUGAAAGUCUUUGAAUUGAUCAUGAAGCCUCCAAAGCUUGCUUCUAUGUAAAAGAAAAAAAAAAAGAGAAUAAAGAUAUUCUGCAGCACUUCCCUGAGUUGGCA
rnacentral:lncRNA from 1 species